AAAACAUUUCUGAACAUUAGACGCCAAUGUAAAAUGGGGUUUUUGGAUGUAAAUAUGAACUUUAUCGAGCAAAACAUACAUGUAUUGUGUAACAUGAAGUCCUAUGAGUGCCAACUGAUGAAGAUCAUCAAAGGGGCAGAGCAGUGUGGAGAUUUGAAGAGAACAGAGGCUGGCUUGAGCAUCAUUGACAAUUCUAUCAGCAGAAAGGAGUAAUGGUAUCACAUGUUUGUGCGCUAUUACCUCACACACCCGAUACACAUAGCCACAAGAAGAAAACAACAUGACUUAUGAUGCACCGAUCUGCCGGGGAGGGGUGGGACCAACCAUGACUAAGCAGUUUUGGGGUUUCUAUAUAAACCCAUUGUGUUUAUGUAUUAUUGGGAACUCAACGAUCACUUACGGGUGGCUGAUGACCAGCUCCAUUAUUGCAAUAGUUAAUCGGUAUUAAAGGUUGAUUGUUUGAAGAAAUUGAACCCUCUUCUCCAUUUUUUUAUUUGAAUUUCCACAACAUUCUUGGCGACGAGGAUGCUUGGCGACCUUCACCUGCUGACCACUCUUGAGGAUCUGGGUUAAACUGUGCACAGGGGUUACACCACAGUGACUCAAGGAAACUCACACUCCGCUGAGGAGAAGCUGAUACCUGCCUAACGUUCAAGGAGAAGGGGCGUUGGCGGGUGGAUACAGGAUCCGGAACACAGACAGAUAAAGGACCCAACGCAGGAGAAGAGAAGCAGGUACAGGGAGUGGAACAUAUAAUACAAACGGACAUGCAACGGAACAGAAACAGAGUCUGGACAUAAACACUACAAACAGUGCUACUACAGAGAACAACCCAGGGGAGCAGACAUAUAUACAGGGACAAUCAACAAAGUGAG
rnacentral:lncRNA from 1 species